rnacentral:rRNA from 1 species
UACAGAGGGUGCUAGCGUUGUUCGGAAUUAUUGGGCGUAAAGGGCGCGUAGGCGGCCCUGUGUGUCGGGUGUGAAAGCCCACCUCUUAAAGGUGGAAUUGCAUUCGAAACUACAGGGCUGGAGUGUCGGAGAGGAUGGCGGAAUUCCUGGUGUAGAGGGUGAAAUUCGUAGAUAUCAGGGAAGGAACACCGGGUGGCGAAGGCGGCCAUCUGGACG